GACGAACGCUGGCGGCGUGCUUAACACAUGCAAGUCGAACGGAAAGGCCCUGCUUGCCGGGUACUCGAGUGGCGAACGGGUGAGUAACACGUGGGUGAUCUGCCCUGCACUUCGGGAUAAGCCUGGGAAACUGGGCCUAAUACCGGAUAGGAGCCAUUUUUAGUGUGAUGGUUGGAAAGUUUUUUCGGUGUAGGAUGAGCUCGCGGCCUAUCAGCUUGUUGGUGGGGUAAUGGCCUACCAAGGCGGCGACGGGUAGCCGGCCUGAGAGGGUGGACGGCCACAUUGGGACUGAGAUACGGCCCAGACUCCUACGGGAGGCAGCAGUGGGGAAUAUUGCACAAUGGGCGCAAGCCUGAUGCAGCGACGCCGCGUGGGGGAUGACGGCCUUCGGGUUGUAAACUCCUUUCGCUAGGGACGAAGCUUUUUGUGACGGUACCUAGAUAAGAAGCACCGGCUAACUACGUG
rnacentral:rRNA from 1 species